AUUGAACGCUGGCGGCGUGCCUAACACAUGCAAGUCGAGCGGUAACAGGUGUAGCAAUACAUGCUGACGAGCGGCGAACGGGUGAGUAAUGCUUCGGAAUCUACCCAUGUAGUGGGGAAUAACCAGCCGAAAGGUUGGCUAAUACCGCAUACGACCUACGGGUGAAAGCAGGGGAUCGCAAGACCUUGCGCUAUUGGAUGAGCCGAAGUCGGAUUAGCAGUUGGUGAGGUAACGGCUCACCAAGGCGACGAUCCGUAGCUGGUCUGAGAGGACGACCAGCCACACUGGGACUGAGACACGGCCCAGACUCCUACGGGAGGCAGCAGUGGGAAUAUUGACAAUGGGGCAACCCUGAUCCAGCGACGCCGCGUGUGUGAAGAAGGCCUGCGGGUUGUAAAGCACUUUUAGU
rnacentral:rRNA from 1 species